GCCCACCUAGCCCAAACGGCGAGGCAGCGCGCCAACCACGGCGCGUGUCAUCCCGGUUCGAGUCCGGGGGCGGGCACCA
rnacentral:tRNA from 1 species